rnacentral:rRNA from 1 species
GUGGGGAAUCUUGCGCAAUGGACGAAAGUCUGACGCAGCGACGCCGCGUGAGUGAUGAAGGCCUUCGGGUUGUAAAGCUCUGUGGGGAGAGAAGAAUUAGUGCAGGCUAAUCACUGCAUGAUGACGGUAUCUCCUUAGCAAGCACCGGCUAACUCUGUGCCAGCAGCCGCGGUAAGACAGAGGGUGCAAACGUUGUUCGGAAUUACUGGGCGUAAAGCGUGUGUAGGUGGCCACGUAAGUCGGAUGUGAAAGCCCUGGGCUCAACCCAGGAAGUGCACUCGAUACUGCGUGGCUUGAGUACCGGAGAGGUUGGUAGAAUUCUCGGUGUAGAGGUGAAAUUCGUAGAUAUCGAGAGGAAUACCUGUGGCGAAGGCGGCCAACUGGACGAGUACUGACACUGAGACACGAAAGCGUGGGGAGCAAACAGGAUUAGAAACCCCAGUAGUCC